GCUGCAUGAAAAUCCAAUCCUCCGAGUAUCUCCUCCUCCUACGAGCAACCAUACUUGCCCAGUUCUCUUCUUUGAGUUUCUUCUUCUUCAACAGAUUGUAGAUCUGGAGGAUCCAUAACUCUUGUCCCUUCUUAACUUCCUUAAUCCGUCCUAGCCUUUUAAUAUCUCGUCCUUCCCUCCAUUCACAUCCAAACCGUGUUUGAAUCUCACAUAUGUUUUCAGAUCUAAACGUUGUAGUUAAUAUCUGUAUUCUCAUUAUCAUCUCCCUUCACCUUCACCAAUUCUGAACUUAUUUUUCUUUUCUCCACACCCCAAACGCAUCAACCCAUCUCCUCAUUUUCUCUACUCUCUUUCGCCACAUCAACCUGAAACAGUGCACCGUCGUAACCUCCUCUUCCUCUGAGCUUGCAGUGCCGCCACCACUACUAUUGUUUCCCAGAAACCGGUCACUCACCGCACCUCUCACUCUCAAAAUCUCUGAAUCGAUAUCAUCUUCUUCACUCACCUAAAAACCCCGAAAAACCGGAUCAUCAGGAUCUUCCUCCUCCAUCGAAUCCCUUCUGCCUCACCGAAACCACAGCCCUCUCUUUGUCCAAAUCGCACCGCCACCACCACAAGUCUUCUCCAUCCUGAGUCUGUGUUGUAGAUCUGAGGAGACGGAACUCUGAUUUUAUGAGGAAUUUGGAAAAAAUUGCUAAAUCCAUUGAAUCAAAACAAAAAAGCAUCUUCGUGGUAUAUGCUUCUCCCUGUUCUGCAUCUCCGCUCCUAGCCACCGUCCCUCUCCGCUCCUCCAAGCCACCGUCUUUUCCGACCAGGGACAAACACAGUACCUGGGUUGAAUCAAACACCAGUUCUAUGCUGUAACAAAAAAAAACAACUUGUUUUGAAGGAAAUUGGUGAAGAGGAUCCAAGUUCUUUUAUGAGAGGACCAGAUCUGAAGAGGGCAUCGCCGUUCCGGUGACACCGCCGCCAAGGCUGACUCCUUCUAUCACAGCCUCCUCCUCGAGGAGUUGUCACGGUUCUGCAUAGUGUGAGAUUGAGGGAUGACAGAAUCAUUUUUAUUUCAUGAAUCCCAAUUGAUUGAAGUUGGAUUGAACAAUGCUCAACCUGAAGAGGUGCCACCACCAGCAUUUGUACCCCCGUGUAUAAGUAUAGAUGUCUCGCAUUUAUUUACAACUGAUCAGGGCUUGACAACAUGAGAAACCAAUGGGAGACGGUCUGAGGGUAAGAAGAUAGUGCAGCUGCUACAGGUUGCUUCUUCUCUUUGUUUUCUACGCUUUGAAAAGUGCAAAAGCUGUGGUAAGCAGCACCAAACAUGAUGCGGCAGCGGUGAGCCGUGAGCAGCGAAGUCACAACCCCUAUGCAUGUUAAUUUCUAAAGAGGAUUGAUUUUUUAACAGAUUAUUUAUGUUCUGCAAAUCAUUGUACCACUUUUGAAAUUAUAUAUUUAGAAUUUAAGUAAGCUAACUUAAUAGUGGCAAAAUUUUGGGUUAUGUUUUGCUCCCUGAAAGAAUUAAGAACCUUUUGUUUGUCAAUGUUUUAAAACGGUAGUGUAUCAAUUUCUUCCUUCGACAUUACCAACCAUGGCCUCGAUUAGAAUGAUAAAUUUCACACUCCUUUCUUUUGUGUUUUAUUUUAGUGAAAUUCUACUUCUUUCUCCUUCUGCUCCAUGGAAAAAGAGUGCUGUUGCACAUAACAUAUGCAGUUGUAGAUUAUUGUGGUUGCUUGCAGCUUAUAUACCUAUUAUGCUUGUGCUUCUCACAGAUAUCUAACCAAGCAGGAACUGUGGUUCUCACAGACCCUUGACCACUACUCUCCCUAUGUACUUGUCACUUCGAUUCCAUCUCUUCUCAAUCACCAUUCACAUUAAGUUAAUCAAUUCUCCGGGCUUGCAUCCCAAAUUUUGGUUCAUUACAAACCUCAAUUCUCCGGCACUUAAUUUCUGGAACUAAGCGUUUUUUCAAUUAACAAGAACUAGGUUAUAGUUAAGUUGCUUCAAUGUUUUAAUAUAUAUUGCAAUUUACUAAGUGCCUGCCUGGUUGGUUCAGUGUUUCAAUUUACAUUGCAAUUUGGUUCAAUGUUCUUAUGAAAUAGCACGUUAUGCAGCAAUUUGAGAAGGGAAGGUUUUGACCUUUUUUUUCUUUCAAUUAUGCGCUGCAGGAUCACUACAAGUUCCAGCAACGUUACUAUGAGUUCCUUGACUAUUUCCGGAUUCCUGAUGGACCCAUUUUUUUGGUAAUUUGUGGUGAAUCACAUACUAGUAGCUUUUGUUGGUUAAUGAGGUUCUGGCAAAGAAGUUUGGAGCAGCUGUGGUUUCUGUUAAGCAUCGCUAUUAUGUUUGAGUUCUCCAUUUAAAUCUCUGGCCACAAAAAAUCUAAGAUAUCUUUCAUCCAAGCAGGCACUCUUUGAUUUGGAUGUUUUUUGUCAGAAUUAUCA